GAUGAAGAACGUAGCGAAAUGCGAUACUUGGUGUCAAUUGCAGAAUCCCGUGAACCAUCGAGUCUUUGAACGCAAGUUGCGCCCGAAGCCAUUAGGCCGAGGGCACGCCUGCCUGGGUGUCACACGUCGUUGCCCCCCCAUCUACUCCUUCGGGAUUGCGGGGGGCGGAUGAUGGCCUCCCGUGCGCCUCGUCGCGCGGUUGGCAUAAAUGCCAAGUCCUCAGCGACGCACGCCACGACAAUCGGUGGUUGCGAAACCUCGGUUGCCCGUCGUGUGCGGUCGUCGCGCAUCGAGGGCUCGAAAAAUUGCCGGGCUCCGGCUCGGCUUUCAACGCGACCCCAGGUCAGGCGGGGUUACCCGCUGAAUUUAAGCAUAUCAAUAAGCGGAGGA
rnacentral:misc_RNA from 1 species